GAACAUGUCUUUACUUUUUAGUUUUUAUUCUUUAAUUUGGGGGUAAAAUAGGUAUUCUACAAUCAUUAAAGGGUCGGGCCAAGUCGGUGCACAAUAGGCCGAUCUCGGUCGGGUGUUAUUCGGUCAGUCUCGGUCAGGCGCCCGACGGUCCAAGUAGCAAAACCGAGACCGACCAUUUAUAAAUGGGCCGGGCUCAAGCCUGACAAGUUUAAUAAACGGUCCGGGCCGGGCCAGUCUAUAAACGGUCAGUCCCGAUUGAUUUAGUCGGGUCGGGCCACGAAUUGACACCCCUAGAUCACUUAAUCCCUCAAACAAUGGAAUUCAAAAAUCUCUCUCAUCCAUCAAGAAAAAUUAUUCUCCAUUGUUUAGAAUCAGCUCUUCCCAAUGAGUAUACUACCUUCCAAAUUUUCGAGGUGGAAUGCAAAUUGAAAUCCCUCCUCGUGGUUGAGGAAAUCUCUGUGGAUGCAAAUAAUUAUAAAUAAUGGCUUAUGCCUUUUUCUAUGAGAUUAGCAUUUUGGCUUUGGUGAUUUCCAUGGCUGUGACGAAUCUUAUCCUUCAAUCCUGCAAACCACGAGGUCUGUGGUAUGUAAGGUCUAGCAAAGUCUGCAAAAAGACCAAGCCCAAAAUCUUUGGUGCAUAAGGAAUAACAAAGAAACCGUUUAGGAACCAUAUAAUCGUUUAAUAAACCAUUUUCGUUUUGGUUUCAUAUGAAUCUGUUUAAUAUACGGUAAAUCGAAUCGUUUCCCAAUUCUAGUUUAUACGGCUGGGUUUUGGUUUGGAAUUGAGACCCUUAAUCUUGCCUUUGCUGUAGCUUACUCAAUAGAAAGCAACUUGAAGGAGAGGUAAGAAGAGGGAAAAUGAGAGAUGGGUUUGUCGUUGGUCUCAAACAAGGACUGUUGUCUCCACGGUUUAGCAGUGUUUUUGUUUCCUCUGUUUUUCUGCUUUAAUAGCCACUGAUGACGACCUUACUGAGUAUGAUGUCCUACAAUCCUACAAUUCUCCGGUGGUUCUCUUCCCCAAGUGGUUGUUAAGUUACUAUUGAUCUUUGACUUGUUCUCCAAUUGAUCAAUUUUGGUAGCUUGUGACGCAGAGAUGACCUGACACAAGGCCAAGCAGAAGUGCAGAAUUGCAGAAGCAUAGUUGUCCUCCCCUGUUUUCUCACAGAAGGGUUAAAGUGCUGAAGGUGAAGGAGAAGAGGAAGGAAGGUUCAGGCAGACCAGAGGUCCGAUUAAUGCUCCCAAAGCUCAACAAAGGCAGGUGCCAUUGUCCAAGUCCUUCACCCAGACCUGGAGUCGUAGCGAUUAAGACUAGAUAGAUGAAUUUGCCUUGGAAUUAGACUGUUAGAAAAGUUCUUCCAGAACUCAAUGGCAAGCUCACUGGAAUGGCCUUGUGUGUCCCGACUCCCAACACCAAAUGUUUCAGUUGUGGACUCCACUUGAGAAAAGUGCUUCAUAUGAGGAUGUUGUUAGAUAUGUAGUCCCCAUCUGAACUUUUUCUUGUGCGUUCACAACUGACAAAUCUAACCACAGGCGGGCAUCGGAGAAAUUGAGAGGCAUUCUUGGAUACACAGAUGAAGAUGAGCUUGUUUCAUGAUGUGGGGUUACAGUAGGCGAGUCUCGCUUGGUCCACACAUUGUAGAUUCUUGACCAGUUAGGUUCAUGCUGCUGCUGUGCUUUUAGUGAGGCCUAUUGGAAGGGAUUGGUGAAUUAUAGAUUUUAAUAGGGAGGACAGUUUUAGAGGGUUGAAUUGAAUGGCUGUUCAUUACCUAAAGAGUUUUGCAGAGUAACUAUGGUUGAUGAGCCAAUCAGAAAUACAGCUACAGAUGAGAAAUCACAAA